UCCAUCUGUUCUUAAGGUUUUCCCAUUUGCAGUCUUUGGUUUCCUUUGAAGUGAUCAAAGCCUAGUUUUCUCUUUGUUACUUGAGUUGAAAGAACUACCUUUUUCUGAUUAUCCCUUAACACCACAGAGAGUACUGAGUUGUUUUGAAAACAAAAAUUCCCUAACAUGAAUCUUUUAUUCCCUUUUAUCUUUACUUACCUUAUGUAACUCUUAAUUUCUAAGAUGUAGCUCAAUACAUAUCCCAUAUCCCUUAGCCCCCAACGACUCCCCCCAAAAAACCUACAAAGGAAAAAAAACCCAAUGCCUCUACUCUUAAUGGUGAGCUCUAUUUCUGUUCUCUCUUUUCAGGAUUUAGUCCUCUGCAGUCUCGUGAUUGCCCUCACGCUGUAUUCGACACAGGCUGGAGGAAAGUGUGUUUCAUGAAGGUAGUUUCUCGUGCUCUGCUAUCCCCCGCAGCACAGCGAAGAGGUUUGAGCUUCUCACCAUAAGCUGCGGGAUGGUCUUUAACUUCCAAGAACAUACAGUUGGAUUGGAGUGACAAAACUGUGUGGAGAUGGGCGUUCACAUAAUGAAUAAAUGCCUGUGAAGAUGUGUGCCGGAACCAUUCCCAGCGGACCCUGAUGCUGCCGUUCCAGGACCACAGUCUGAGGACCACCGGCUGACAGUGAGUAGAUGGGAGGCAGGAUGUGCAAACCCAGAUGCAUGAUGGAAGAGGGGUGUGGUUGGGGGCAAUUUCCCAGUCAAGCAGAAGGCCAGGCCGCUAGCUGCAAAGGGGGAGAAGAGGUUGUGGGUGCCUGAGGAGAGAGGAAAAGCUGGGGAAAUAGUCACCGAGGAGAAAUGGGAGAGAGAGUGAACCACGGUUGACACAUCACAUGUUUGACAUCACUAUGGUCCACUGGAGCCUGUCCAUCAUGAAUUCCAGGUGAGACCAGGCAACGUGCUGUGGUCUUGGCCCAGCUACAUCCAGUUGGCAGAGGCCUGGAUUUCAGAGCAGUGGCGUGGCUGAGCAAGUGUGAAAAAGCAUGAGGGCAAGAGAGUCGAGGAUAUAGGCAGACAAAAAUGGCAGCGACCGCACA